AGAGUUUGAUCCUGGCUCAGGAUGAACGCUGGCGGCGUGCUUAACACAUGCAAGUCGAACGGGAAUUACUUUAUUGAAACUUCGGUCGAUUUAAUUUAAUUCUAGUGGCGGACGGGUGAGUAACGCGUGGGUAACCUGCCUUAUACAGGGGGAUAACAGUCAGAAAUGGCUGCUAAUACCGCAUAAGCACACAGAGCUGCAUGGCUCGGUGUGAAAAACUCCGGUGGUAUAAGAUGGACCCGCGUUGGAUUAGCUUGUUGGUGGGGUAACGGCCCACCAAGGCGACGAUCCAUAGCCGGCCUGAGAGGGUGAACGGCCACAUUGGGACUGAGACACGGCCCAGACUCCUACGGGAGGCAGCAGUGGGGAAUAUUGCACAAUGGGGGAAACCCUGAUGCAGCGACGCCGCGUGAAGGAAGAAGUAUCUCGGUAUGUAAACUUCUAUCAGCAGGGAAGAUAGUGACGGUACCUGACUAAGAAGCCCCGGCUAACUACGUGCCAGCAGCCGCGGUAAUACGUAGGGGGCGAGCGUUAUCCGGAUUCAUUGGGCGUAAAGCGCGCGUAGGCGGCCGCCUAAGCGGAACCUCUAAUCCCGGGGCUCAACCUCGGGCCGGGUUCCGGACUGGGCGGCUCGAGUGCGGUAGAGGCAGGCGGAAUUCCCGGUGCAGCGGUGGAAUGCGCAGAUAUCGGGAAGAACACCGAUGGCGAAGGCAGCCUGCUGGGCCGCCACUGACGCUGAGGCGCGAAAGCUGGGGGAGCGAACAGGAUUAGAUACCCUGGUAGUCCCAGCCGUAAACGAU
rnacentral:rRNA from 1 species